rnacentral:tRNA from 2 species
GCCUGGGUGGCUCAGUCGGUUAAGCGUCUGACUUCAGCUCAGGCUGUGAUCUCACAGUUUGUGGGUUCGAGCCCCACGUCGGGCU